CCUACGGGAGGCAGCAGUGAGGAAUAUUGGUCAAUGGACGAGAGUCUGAACCAGCCAAGUAGCGUGAAGGAUGACUGCCCUAUGGGUUGUAAACUUCUUUUAUAUGGGAAUAAAAUGUUCCACGUGUGGGAUUUUGUAUGUACCAUAUGAAUAAGGAUCGGCUAACUCCGUGCCAGCAGCCGCGGUAAUACGGAGGAUCCGAGCGUUAUCCGGAUUUAUUGGGUUUAAAGGGAGCGGAGGGGGAUUGUUAAGUCAGUUGUGAAAGUUUGCGGCUCAACCGUAAAAUUGCAGUUGAAACUGGCAGUCUUGAGUACAGUAGAGGUGGGCGGAAUUCGUGGUGUAGCGGUGAAAUGCUUAGAUAUCACGAAGAACUCCGAUUGCGAAGGCAGUUCACUGGACUGCAACUGACACUGAGGCUCGAAAGUGUGGGUAUCAAACAGGAUUAGAGACCCUAGUAGUC
rnacentral:rRNA from 1 species